rnacentral:rRNA from 1 species
UGCUAGCCCGAGCUCUAUCGAUGAUCGCUACUGACUGCUCGAUCUGCAUGCUAGUCGAGAGAGUAGAUCAUGUGUCAGCGAUAUGCGUAAGAUCGAGAUCCUGUGAGAGCGUCUUGACGACACUGCGUAGUGCGAUGCUGGCACACAGAUAAUCUUGUGUCACGCGUAGCGAGUCGUCUGUCGUCGUCCAUGUACUCCUCUGAGCUAUGAGUAUUCGACGCUAGUGAGUACGAGCAGAUACACUCACUGACUGUCGCGCCGCUACCGUCGUGCGGUAUCAUCGAUGCACGCACGUAGCUAGCUGUCAGACAUCUACGAGCAUCACAGACAGACUGGUCUCUAGACACAUGAGACAGUGCUGCAUGCUGUCGUCAGCUCGUGUCGUGAGAUGUAUAUUGUCCGCACGAGCGCACACUAUCUUGUGCAUCAGUCGGCUAACACUCUAGAUAGACUGCGAGGAUAACCUGAGAAGGUGAGAUGACGUCAAGUCAUCAUGGCCUUAUGCCCAGGGCUACACACGUGCUACAAUGCUCAUACAUGAGAAGCGAGACCGCGAGAUGGAGCGGUCUCAUAAAGUGCGUCGUAGUCGGAUGUAGUCUGCACUCGCCUACAUGAAGUCGGAAUCGCUAGUAUCGUAGAUCAGAAUGCCACGUAAAUAGGUCCCCGGUCUUGGACCCCACGGCCCUCAACACAUUGGGACUGGGUGCACCCAGAGUAGUAGCUGACUGCGGAGAGCGCAGUAUAGUGAG